rnacentral:tRNA from 1 species
GGAGUCUUGUGGUAGCUUGGUCCAUCCUCCGGGCUUUGGGAGCCUGGGACCCCGGUUCAAAUCCGGGAGACUUCA